rnacentral:rRNA from 1 species
CCUACGGGCGGCAGCAGUGGGGAAUAUUGGACAAUGGGCGAAAGCCUGAUCCAGCCAUGCCGCGUGUGUGAAGAAGGCCUUCGGGUUGUAAAGCACUUUCAGUGGGGAAGAAAGCCUUGGGGCUAAUACCCUCGAGGAAGGACAUCACCCACAGAAGAAGCACCGGCUAACUCCGUGCCAGCAGCCGCGGUAAUACGGAGGGUGCGAGCGUUAAUCGGAAUUACUGGGCGUAAAGCGCGCGUAGGCGGUCUGAUAAGCCGGUUGUGAAAGCCCCGGGCUCAACCUGGGAACGGCAUCCGGAACUGUCAGGCUAGAGUGCAGGAGAGGGAGGUAGAAUUCCCGGUGUAGCGGUGAAAUGCGUAGAGAUCGGGAGGAAUACCAGUGGCGAAGGCGGCCUUCUGGACUGACACUGACGCUGAGGUGCGAAAGCGUGGGUAGCAAACAGGAUUAGAUACCCUAGUAGUC